CUAGGAGGUUAGGAAAAGCCAGUUCUGGUACCCAUCCUUACACGGAUGGCAGAGGACAGGCUGCUAUGGUCAGAGACUCCCGGAGGUCAAGUCACCAAGGCCUUAACACCAGCCCUACAAUUGGGAAGAAGGCUGUAAGUGACAGGCUCUUGCUCACAAAGGAGACCGCCUGCCUUUCCAGGGAGUAAGGCAGGCCCAAGACUCUGGAUUUCCCAGUGGAAAUUGGAUCAAGGUAAAGCGCACAGUGCUGCAACCCAGGGCUGACAAUACUGGCAUCGAGAUGCAGGCUCCAGUUCAGUACCAGCUGGUUCUCUUCGUUUGACGGAUGGCGUCUGUACUGUCUGAUUCUGUGUGUGAACUCGACACAAGCUAGAGUCAUCAGAGGAAGGAGCCUCAGCUGAGGAAAUGCCUCCGUGAGAUCCAGCUCUCCUGCCUCCGGGACCCUGCCCUGUGUGAGCUCCUGUCCUGACUUCCUUCAGUGAUG